rnacentral:rRNA from 1 species
CAGUCGCCACGGUAAUACGUAGGUCCCGAGCGUUGUCCGGAUUUAUUGGGCGUAAAGCGAGCGCAGGCGGUUAGAUAAGUCUGAAGGUAAAGGCUGUGGCUUAACCAUAGUACGCUUUGGAAACUGUUUAACUUGAGUGCGGAAGGGGAGAGUGGAAUUCCAUGUGUAGCGGUGAAAUGCGUAGAUAUAUGGAGGAACACCGGUGGCGAAAGCGGCUCUCUGGUCUGUAACUGACGCUGAGGCUCGAAAGCGUGGGGAGCAAACAGGAUUAGAUACCCGUGUAGUCCCUGUCUCUUAUACA